UACGUAGGUGGCAAGCGUUGUCCGGAUUUACUGGGCGUAAAGGGCGCGUAGGCGGCCUCCGCAAGUCAAUUGUGAAAUCUCCGGGCUUAACUCGGAAAGGUCAACUGAUACUGCGGGGCUAGAGUGCGGAAGGGGCAACUGGAAUUCUUGGUGUAGCGGUGAAAUGCGUAGAUAUCAAGAGGAACACCUGCGGCGAAGGCGGGUUGCUGGGCCGACACUGACGCUGAGGCGCGAAAGCUAGGGGAGCGAACGGG
rnacentral:rRNA from 1 species